GGCUCGGUAGCUUAGUUGGUAAAGCACUCGUUUAGCAUACAAUAAUCCUGGGUUCUAAUUCCAGCUGAGCAU
rnacentral:tRNA from 1 species